GGAGUGGGUUGCCAUCUCCUUCUGCAGGGAAUUGAACCUGCAUGUCUUGCAAUUGGCAGAUGGAUUCUUUACCACUGUGCCACCAGAAGUUUUUUUCAUGAUUGGCCCUGAUAAGUAAAUUGAAAUCACAUCAGAUUUUGACUGCUUGGCUCUGUAGAGGUAAACAGAACCAACAGUACUUCUACUGAUGGGAUUGAAGCUCUUUUAGUGUCACAAGGAAGGACCUUUAGAGAUCAUCUUCUCAAUUUUUUUUACUUACCCCUCAUCCAAGGUAAGGAGCAGCGGCUGCUGUGCUUUCCUGGAGCAGCGGUGAAGAGAUACCCCACACCCAAGCUGCUCCAGCAAAGCCCAGCCACUGCUCCUUACCUUGGAUGAGGUCACCCCUCCUGACCUUGAACGUGGAGUAGCUCCUCUCCGCCCUUUUUGAGAACUAAAGCGGUCCCUUUUUUGAAGCCCUGCAAACUGAAGCAGAAUAGCUGAUAUACAUUUAAGAGAGAUCACCACAAUGCAACAGUUAUGGUCCUGCUCAGCUAUUGGUUGGCCCUGCAGUGGGCUCCUCCCCCAUGUGACCAACUGUCACUGAGUGACUGUUAGUGGUCCUGCUCUGCCAUUGGUUCGUGCUGCAGUGGGCCCCUCCCAUGAGUGACCAACUGUCAGUGAGCAACUGUUGGUGGGGUAUUCAUCCAAGGAUCCAAAGAGUGGUGGCCCUCAGGUGGAGAGUGAGCCAGGACUGGACCUUGGAGGGUGAGGAUUGAGCCUUGGGACCUUGCCCUUCCUUGUCGGAACAGAGAAGAUUUGUUUGGUGGAGAUUUAUAGGGACUUCGUUACCUGACUAUGACCUGACCUCAAGAACAAAGGGUCUGACACCAAGAAGUUUACAACAGCCAACCACACCCCUUCCUCACCUUUCUAAGAAUGGGCUUUGCUGAAAGCUUUCGGUAGUUUGGGCCAUCUCCUUCCAUAGUCCUGCAAUAAACCUUUCUCUGUUCCAUACUACAAUGUUUUGAUAUUGUUUGACCUCACUGUGCCUUGGGCACACAAACGUGUGUUUUGGUAACAAUAGCUCAGGUUUAGAUGAUUUGUCUGUUGAUAGAAAGUCUACCUGCACAUCAGUGACAUCAUCAGAGAUAUUGCAACCUGCAAAGCUGGCAGCUCUCAGGACUCAGACACUGAGUUUAUAAUUUGCUCCAGCUACUAACCUUUGUUUUCCUUUUGUCGCCAUAGAAAUGCCUUGUAGUAAAUACUGGACUUCUCGAAUAAUAUAGGACUAAUUUUAAGAGUCCGCAACAUCACCACUUCCUGAAAUGAGACACAACUGUUUAGCUGAAUUGACCUAUUUUUAGGACUGAGUAACUGGUUCAAAAAAGAUAUGGAGUAAUGUAUCAACUUAGCUUCUAAACUGUGAAACUUCUUGGAGAAGUUUCAAAGGCAGGACUGUAGCGGAACAGGAUUUGCUGCCCCAAAAUAUGUCUCUUUAGAAUAUUUUAAGUUGG
ensembl:lncRNA